rnacentral:lncRNA from 1 species
CUUGCUGAUGAACAAAAGGUGUUCAUCAGUAAUAGGACAGUCUUUCUAGAAAAAGAGUUCAUUGAAAAAAAACUAAUACCUCAAAGAUUGAACUUGAUGAAGUUUGAUCGGUAAAAAAAUCGAUACAAUCUAGUAAACCCAUAGAGUUGGACUUGAUUAGAUCAAAUCCGAAAUCUAUUGUAGAAAUAUCUUUAAGAAGAUUUGGAAGAAUACCGCGUC